rnacentral:rRNA from 1 species
UUCGUGUGAACAGUGGUUGAUCACGAGUUAGUCGGUCCUAAGUUCAAGGCGAAAGCCGAAAAUUUUCAAGUAAAAUUUUGAUUCAUAUUUAAAACUUUGUAAUAUAAUUUAAACACUUGAAUAAUUUUGAACGAAAGGGAAUACGGUUCCAAUUCCGUAACCUGUUGAGUAUCCGUUUGUUAUUAAAUAUGGGCCUCGUGCUCAUCCUGGUAACAGGAACGACCAUAAAGAAGCCGUCGAGAGGUAUCGGAAGAGUUUUCUUUUCUGUUUUAUAGCCGUACUACCAUGGAAGUCUUUCGCAGAGAGAUAUGGUAGAUGGGCUAGAAGAGCAUGACAUAUACUGUUGUGUCGAUAUUUUCUCUUCGGACCUUGAAAAUUUAUGGUGGGGAUACGCAAACUUCUCAACAGGCCGUACCAAUAUCCGCAGCUGGUCUCCAAGGUGAAGAGUCUCUAGUCGAUAGAAUA